ACAGUUUGAUCAUGGCUCAGAUUGAACGCUGGCGGCAUGCUUAAUACAUGCAAGUCGAACGGUAACAUGCCCUCCGGGGUGAUGACGAGUGGCGGACGGGUGAGUAACGCAUAGGAAUCUACCUAGUAGUGGGGGACAACUUGGGGAAACUCAAGCUAAUACCGCAUACAUCCUACGGGAAAAAGAGGGCCUCUUCUUGAAAGCUCUUGCUAUUAGAUGAGCCUAUGUCAGAUUAGCUUGUUGGUGGGGUAACGGCCUACCAAGGCGACGAUCUGUAGCUGGUCUGAGAGGAUGAUCAGCCACACUGGGACUGAGACACGGCCCAGACUCCUACGGGAGGCAGCAGUAGGGAAUAUUGGACAAUGGGCGCAAGCCUGAUCCAGCAAUGCCGCGUGUGUGAAGAAGGCCUGCGGGUUGUAAAGCACUUUCAAUUAGGAAGAAAAGCUCAAGGUUAAUAACCUUGAGUCUUGACAUUAUCAAUAGAAGAAGCACCGGCUAACUCUGUGCCAGCAGCCGCGGUAAUACAGAGGGU
rnacentral:rRNA from 1 species